rnacentral:rRNA from 1 species
GAUGAACGCUGGCGGCGUGCCUAAUACAUGCAAGUCGAGCGAACAGACGAGGAGCUUGCUCCUCUGACGUUAGCGGCGGACGGGUGAGUAACACGUGGAUAACCUACCUAUAAGACUGGGAUAACUUCGGGAAACCGGAGCUAAUACCGGAUAAUAUAUUGAACCGCAUGGUUCAAUAGUGAAAGACGGUUUUGCUGUCACUUAUAGAUGGAUCCGCGCCGCAUUAGCUAGUUGGUAAGGUAACGGCUUACCAAGGCAACGAUGCGUAGCCGACCUGAGAGGGUGAUCGGCCACACUGGACCUGAGACACGGUCCAGACUCCUACGGGAGGAAGCAGUAGGGAAUCUUCCGCAAUGGGCGAAAGCCUGACGGAGCACCGCCGCGUGAGUGAUGAAGGUCUUCGGAUCGUAAAACUCUGUUAUUAGGGAAGAACAAAUGUGUAAGUAACUAUGCACGUCUUGACGGUACCUAAUCAGAAAGCCACGGCUAACUACGUG